AGAGGCAUAAGGCAUGGGAAAA
rnacentral:miRNA from 1 species